UGAACUGAAGAGUUUGAUCCUGGCUCAGAUUGAACGCUGGCGGCAUGCCUAACACAUGCAAGUCGAACGCGAACGCCCCUUCGGGGGUAAGUAGAGUGGCGGACGGGUGAGUAACGCGUGGGAAUCUGCCUCGUAGUAGGGGACAACCCGGGGAAACUCGGGCUAAUACCGCAUACGUCCUAUGGGAGAAAGGGGGCCUCUGCUUGCAUGCUCUCGCUAUGAGAUGAGCCCGCGUCCGAUUAGCUUGUUGGUGGGGUAAAUGCCUACCAAGGCGAUGAUCGGUAGCUGGUCUGAGAGGAUGAUCAGCCACACUGGGACUGAGACACGGCCCAGACUCCUACGGGAGGCAGCAGUGGGGAAUAUUGGACAAUGGGCGCAAGCCUGAUCCAG
rnacentral:rRNA from 1 species